CUCGCUCAGGUGAUCCUCCCACCUCAACCUCCCAAGUAGCUGGGACUACAGGCACGCACCACCAUACCCAGCUAGAGCCCAAGCUCCUAACCGCUUCUGCUGUGCAGUAACAAGCCACGCUCAGGGCAUGGGCCCAACUUGAGUUUCUUCCAUCCACGGGUCCAGACUGGAAAGGAAGCAGCAAUCUUCUCUUCUUUUCUCACUGAGUAUAAGGCACCCAAUUCAUCUUCUGGCAGCUGACCUGGAGGACGGAGUGGCCCUGAUUUUCCUUUUACAGGUACAAUCACUGCCAAUACUAAAGCAGUGCCUGUCCCUACCUGCCAGGGCACCCAGGAUCCUUGUCUCCAGCAGUAACUUCAUGAGAGCCAUUUGGAAGAAGAGCUCAAGCUGUUGAAACAAACAAAACGCUGCAUGAGAUGAAGACCAGAUUCCUGCUCUUUGGAGAAACCAAUCAGGGCUGUCAGAUUCGAAUCAAUCAUCCGGACACGUUACAGGAGUGCGGCUUCAACUCCUC
rnacentral:lncRNA from 1 species